UAUUGGACAAUGGGCGCAAGCCUGAUCCAGCAAUGCCGCGUGUGUGAAGAAGGCCUGCGGGUUGUAAAGCACUUUCGGUUGGGAAGAACAGGCUUUGGGCGAAUACCCUGGAGCACUGACGGUACCACCAGAAGAAGCACCGGCUAACUCCGUGCCAGCAGCCGCGGUAAUACGGAGGGUGCAAGCGUUAAUCGGAAUUACUGGGCGUAAAGCGCACGUAGGUGGUUUGUUAAGUCGGAUGUGAAAUCCCCGGGCUCAACCUGGGAAUGGCAUUCGAGACUGGCAGGCUAGAGUCUGGUAGAGGGUGGUGGAAUUCCAGGUGUAGCGGUGAAAUGCGUAGAUAUCUGGAGGAACAUCAGUGGCGAAGGCGGCCACCUGGACUAAGACUGACACUGAGGUGCGAAAGCGUGGGUAGCAAACAGG
rnacentral:rRNA from 1 species